rnacentral:lncRNA from 1 species
GCAGAAGCGGAGGGGGACCUUGGACCAGCCACCCAACCAGGAAGACAAGCCUGGGGCACGGACCCUGAAGUCUGAACCAGGAAAGCAAGCCAAGGUGCCCGAGAGAGGCCAGGAGCCUGUGAAGCAAGCUGACUUUGUUCGCAGCAAGUCUUUCCUGAUAACCCCUGUGAAGCCCGCUGUGGACCGGAAGCAGGGGGCAAAGCUCAACUUCAAGGAGGGGCUGCAAAGAGGAAUCUCAUUGUCCCAUCAGAACUUGGCAGCUCAGUCUGCAGUGAUGAUGGAGAAGGAACUGCAUCAGCUGAAGAGAGCCAGUUAUGCCAGUACAGAUCAGCCAUCCUGGAUGGAACUUGCCAGAAAGAAAUCUCAAGCUUGGAGUGACAUGCCCCAGAUUAUAAAAUAGGUGGGCAGUGUGCUGAUAAAGCAUGUCCACUACCCUGACAAGCCACUUAGUUAAAAACUGCCAGUGUAUUGUGGCAAACAAACUGUGAAACUUAAAGAUUGAUUUUAUCAUCAAGUUAUGACGAACUUGGGGAAGAGGAAGGAACCAGGCAAAACAAAGAGGAUAAACACACAGCCAUACUCCUGGGCCAGAGGGCCCAGAAACAAGAACAACAUUG